AUGGCGACUCUCUCCGACUCCCACUCCGCUACGGGUGGCGGCGCCGCCGCCGCGGCUACACGAUCGGAUCUGGGUGACUUCCUCGAACAACUGGAUCUGAACGAUGAUGACUUUGCUGAUGUGGAGAUCGAUGAGGAUGACCCUACGAUUCAAGAGAGCGUCCGAUGGCUUGCCCUAGCCAGGGUCCAUACAAGCAGGAACUUCAGCCCGUCGGCCUUCUACAAGGAUAUGAGGGCUGCAUGGAACCCGGCGUUGAACGUGAGAUUUCGGCCGGUUAGCCCUAAUCGUUUUGUCGCCCAAGCAUCUUGCUUGGGGGAUUGGGAACGCAUCAUGAUGCAGGGACCUUGGCUGUUCCGCAAUAUGGUUGUGCUUUUGUGCCCGUACGACGGCUUCAGUAAGGCUGAGGAGGUGGAGUUCUUUCAUACUUCAAUUUGGCUGCAGAUUCACAAGCUACCAGACCCAUAUUGUAAGCAAAAUAUUAUGGAGAAGCUAUUGAAAGAUGCAGGAGAGAUUAUGGAGAUGCGUUUGAACGGGAACACCCGAGGUGACUAUGUUAGGGUUAGGGUGAAACAUGAUAUCCGACAGCGCCUCACAAAGUACGUCAGUAUUGUUCGGGCUAAGGAGCGCCAGGUUUACCUGGUUCGAUAUGAAAAACUUGCUAGGUUUUGUAAGUUUUGUGGCCUUAUUGGUCAUGAACACAAAGAAUGUGGCCUAGGUAUCCACGAUGAGAAGUCUCUCAAGUUUGGGGACUGGAUCUAUGCAGAUGCACCCAAUAAGCCACGGCCGGAAGGACGACCCACUAAGGCGACAGGGAAUGAGUAUAAGCAGGCCAAAACCCGUAAGGAUGGAAGAUCUGAUCUGGAACAUGCACCAUAUGAUCCUGAGAUCAUGGAUACGACUUCGAGCCCGGUCAAGAAAUCUGGUGAAAGAUUAGAAGUUGAUAAUGUGCCUAAGAGGAGACUGAACAUGGAUGAGGCCGGGGCUAUCCCGUGGGAUGCCUCUGGCGCCCCGAAGGCGUUGUUGGCUAUAACUGAUGGCAAUGGCAAUGAUCUGAAUGAUGGUGCCUCACCCACAAAUAGUAGUUCAAGCAGCAAGAGGUUGAAAGUAACCAUGGAUAGCAACAAUAAUGAGAUAUCGGCGGCCUCCCGCGAGGAGGACCGCUGGACGCAAUGA
rnacentral:rRNA from 1 species